rnacentral:rRNA from 1 species
UGGGGAAUUUUGGACAAUGGGCGAAAGCCUGAUCCAGCAAUGCCGCGUGUGUGAAGAAGGCCUUCGGGUUGUAAAGCACUUUUGUCCGGAAAGAAAUGGCUCUGGUUAAUACCUGGGGUCGAUGACGGUACCGGAAGAAUAAGGACCGGCUAACUACGUGCCAGCAGCCGCGGUAAUACGUAGGGUCCAAGCGUUAAUCGGAAUUACUGGGCGUAAAGCGUGCGCAGGCGGUUGUGCAAGACCGAUGUGAAAUCCCCGAGCUUAACUUGGGAAUUGCAUUGGUGACUGCACGGCUAGAGUGUGUCAGAGGGGGGUAGAAUUCCACGGGUAGCAGUGAAAUGCGUAGAGAUGUGGAGGAAUACCGAUGGCGAAGGCAGCCCCCUGGGAUAACACUGACGCUCAUGCACGAAAGCGUGGGGAGCAAACAGG